ensembl:lncRNA
CAAAACCCUUUUUUCUAGAUGUUUCUGAAACAGGACAAGUCAACGGGGUCCUGUUUCAGAAAAAAGGGGGAGAUAGGAACAUCCUCAUGUACAUAAGCGUAGGAUUUGACAAAAUCGAAAAAAGGCACCCCACCUGUACACAGUACGCUGCAGGGGUAGCGAGACUCAUUCAAAAAUGUGCACACAGUGAUGGGACAUCAACUUCAGAUACUCACAACACACAGUGUAGUGGCAUAUGUAAACUCACAGAUGUUCACUAUGACUUCCCUCAGGCAACAACACCUAAGUAAAAUUCUCGGGGCUCCAAAUUUGACUUUCACACACGAGGGGAUAAUAUAUGGCAGACCGGAUGGGGACGGGGCUACCACAUGAGUGCGCGCAAGGGAGGGUAAGACACGAACCGAUCAGGAGGCAGAACCGAUUAAACACGAGGCGGCGAUGAGAGAACUAGCCGAGGCCCUAGACCUGCCCGAAAAGGUAGCCAUCAUAAAAUGCAAAGGACAUGAUAACUCAAAUAGUGCAGUAGCUCAGGGAAAUCAAGCAGCAGACACAGCAGCGAAACAGGCAGCAGAGUACACUCCGCGAGUAAUGAUGGUAAGAACAGAAGAGGAAGUGGGGUGGGGAGAAGGCUCUGAGAGAGACGAGCUAGUGAGACAUCAAAAGGGGGCUUCCCCACAAGAGAAAACAAUUUGGCGACAGAGAGGAGCAACAGAGACGAGAGGGCUGUGGAGAGGGCCAGACGAAUUCACCAACAGUCGGAGAAAGGAAGAACCUGUACCCGUUGGACCAGAACCUGCCCCGGGUGGAGUGGGUGAUCCUGAAGGUCAUCAAGCGAAAGUGGUCGGAGCCAAGGUGGACGGGUCCUCAUCAGGAGGUGGAGAGAACAAGCCAUGCGGUCCACCUGAGGGACAAAGGAGAGACGUGGUACCAUUGGAGCCAGAGUACACCAGCGCAGGAGCCAGGGAGGUCACUGACGGACCUCAUCCAAACCGGGAAGGAGGAGCUUUCCCCAGUGUGGACGGAAGGAGGACCAAAACCAGCCGGACCGGUGCCAGGAGCGGACCCCAGGAUACUGCGGGACUACGAGCGAGAGAAGAAGACAAAGGACGGCGCCAGGGGAAUAGCCUUUUAGGGGAAGGAACUGAAGAACACUAACAAAAGGGGUAUAGGACACCGAGUGGCUCCUACCACUCGUACCAAGAUGACAGGGUUACAGAGAAAGGUCUGG